ACCAGCCCGGGGUGAGCAGCAUACGCAGUGACACGGCACUUCGGAUCUUGGGCCAGCCGGCGCUGUAGCUCUUUCGUAAACCAAAGGUUCGCCAUCUUUGUUGUGCCAUACAUUACUUUUGAGUCGUAGUUCUUUUCAGUGAUUGGCUCUCCUUGCAGCUCAUGCAGCGGUUUUCCUAGCGCGGACGCCACUCUCUCAGCUGCCUCCGGAGAUAGGGCUGCAUCGAGUGAUCGGAACUUCGGGUUGCGCGUGAUGUGCGCUGCAGAACUGAUUGUAAUGACUCGCCCGUGUGCUGCCUUCACCGCAGGAAGGAGCAAGUCAGUGAGCAAGAAUGGUCCAAGAUGAUUUGUCACAAAGUGUCGUUCGAAACCUGUAUUCUUGUCCAUGGACAACUUGUCGGUUGACAUCAGGCCAGCGUUGUUCACCAAGAUGUCGAUCUUUCCCCGGCUUUCCGCAUGAGCCCAAACAGCGAACCGUCUCACAGUCUCAAAAUCGCAGAGGUCGAGAUAGAAGCCACGGAUUUCUCCGGGGGUAACCGGAGCCGGCAGUUUCUUACUCUUUGCAGUCUCCUUGUUUCUGGCAUGUUCUUGAGAUACCUGGUCAGCAAUCUUCUGGACAUCGUCAACUCGCCGACACCCGACAAGAACGUGAACUCCCCACAGUGCC
rnacentral:lncRNA from 1 species